rnacentral:rRNA from 1 species
UUUGUUUUUUAAUUAAAAACUAGAAUGAAAGGUUUAACAUUUAAAUUUGUAUAUUUAUAAUAUUAUUUAAUUUUUAUUAAAUAUAAAAAUAUAUUUAUUUAAUAAAAAGACGACAAGACCCUAUUGAACUUUACUUUUGUUUAACUGGGGCAGUUAAUUAAUUAUAAUUUUAAUUAUAUAUAUAUAUAUAUAUAUAUAUAAAUAACCAAUAAAAUUGAAUAUAAAAAGUUACCAUAGGGAUAACAGCGUAAUAUUAUUUUAAAGUUCUUAUUUAAAUUAAUGUUUGCGACCUCGAUGUUGAAUUAUUAUUCUUUAUAUGUGCAGUAAUUUAUAAAGUAGGUCUGUUCGACCUUUAAUAUAUUACAUGAUUUGAGUUCAAACCGGUGUAAACCAGGUUGGUUUCUAUCUUUUUAUGUAUUUUUCUAGUACGAAAGGACAAAAAAAUAUAUUAUUAAUAAUAUAUUAGCAAAUAAAUGCAUUAGAAUUAGAAUCUAAAUUUACUUAUAUAUAUAUAUUAAUUAAUUCUAUUAUCCCUAUAAUCUCUAUUCUAAUUAGAGUUGCAUUUUACACAAUCUUAGAGCGAAAAAUUUUAAGAUAUAUUCAAAUUCGAAAGGGUCCUAACAAAGUAGGAUUUAUGGGAAUUUUACAACCAUUCAGUGAUGCUAUUAAACUUUUUAACAAAACAUUAUUAUCUUCAGAAUACAUAAAUUUUUCAUUAUCCUAUUUAACCCCAGCAACAUCACUAAUUUUAGCUUUUUUAAUUAUUUCAUUUAUACCUAUAUAUUACUUCUGUCCAUUUGAUAACAAGCAUAAUAUUCUUAUAUUUUUUAUCAUUUCAAGAUUAGCAGUUUAUUCUAUUCU